GAUGAACGCUGGCGGCGUGCCUAAUACAUGCAAGUCGAGCGAACGGACGAGAAGCUUGCUCCUCUGGUGUUAGCGGCGGACGGGUGAGUAACACGUGGAUAACCUACCUAUAAGACUGGGGUACCUUCGGGAGACCGGAGCUACUGCCGGAAAAUAUUUUGAACCGCAUGGUUCAAAAGUGAAAGACGGUCUUGCUGUCACUUAUAGAUGAAUCCGCGCUGCAUUCGCUAGUUGGUAAGGUAACGGCUUACCAAGGCAACGAUGCAUAGCCGACCUGAGAGGGUGGUCGCCCACCCUGGAACUGAGACACAGUCCAGACUCCUACGGGAGGACGCGGUAGGGACUCCUACGCAAUGGGCGAAAGCCUGACGUUGGAACGCCGCCUGAGUCCUGAAGGUCUUCGGAUCGUAAAACUCUGUUAUUAUGGAAGAUCAAAUGUGUAAGUAACUGUGAACAUCUUGACGGUACCUAAUCAGAAAGCCCCGGCUAACUACGUG
rnacentral:rRNA from 1 species